rnacentral:misc_RNA from 1 species
CUGAGUUUUUCAACUCUAAAAACCAUUUGUGAAACAUACCUAUCUUUACUGCUUUGGCGUGGUCCUUCGGGAUUGUGCCGGUAGUAUUUACAAACUCUUUUAAUUUCUAGAGAAUUAUUCAUUGCUGAGUUGCAUUUAACAAAUAGUUUAA